rnacentral:rRNA from 1 species
CGGAGGGUGCAAGCGUUAUCCGGAUUCACUGGGUUUAAAGGGAGCGUAGGUGGGCUUGUAAGUCAGUGGUGAAAUCUCUGGGCUUAACCCGGAAACUGCCAUUGAUACUAUAGGUCUUGAAUUCUCUGGAGGUAAGCGGAAUAUGUCAUGUAGCGGUGAAAUGCUUAGAUAUGACAUAGAACACCCAUUGCGAAGGCAGCUUACUACGGAGACAUUGACACUGAGGCUCGAAAGCGUGGGGAUCAAACAGGAUUAGAUACCCUGGUAGUCCACGCCCUAAACGAUGAUUACUCGACAUUAGCGAUAUUACUGUUAGUGUCUAAGCGAAAGCAUUAAGUAAUCCACCUGGGAAGUACGACCGCAAGGUUG